UCUCCUUUGGAGCAAUUACAUCAAUAUACAAGCCUUAAAAUCCAAAGAACACCAAAAUACUUGAUAAGGUGUUAUAAAAAACUUAUAUAUCCUUAUGAGGAAAUUUUCCCGAAGUUCAACAGCUCAUAACUUACGAUCUAACCGUCUAAACAACUCCAAAUUUUACAUGGAGUACUGAUAUAUCUUUAGCAACUACCACACCAAAAUUCAACCGUAAAUUCGUCUUGAAUCUUGUGAUAUCUUGAAAACUCUAACUGUAGCUUCAAACCCUAGCUUUUUUACACCCGUGUACAACUUCCUUCAUAUCUCACAAAGUAAUUAUUUAAAUACUAUGAAACUUUGAUCUAAAGCUUCUUAACCCAAUUACACACACUUGUGGAAAUUUUGAGCCAAAAAUUCGUCCAGAAACUCAAGAUAUGGCUUCACCCAUAACUAGCAACAAAACGAUAUACUUACUGCCUUCAAAUUACAAGUGCUGUCUUCAACGCCUCAUAACUCCUUCACCCAAUCUUAGAAUUCACUAUACAGUAAGUAGAAUGUGUAGCCAAGAAAAUGUUCCCUCCAAAUCCAGUCGCCGAUCUUCCGUUGCUCUCCGUAUUCGUAUGUGAUGCCCAAAAGAAGUGACAGUAGGUACAAAAUUGACACCUUAUCUUUGAACAUUCAUAUCUUUUCCAUAAAAACUCGAAAUCACACAAAAUCUUCACCCAAAUUAUACCCAAAAUCCUAAACCUUCUGACUCUAGCCUCAAAAGCUCGAAUGGCCUCGAAAGAGGAACCCUAAUUCCUAAUAUGGCCUCGGGCAGCCUCCUCAAAGCCCAUUGGGCAUGGUAUUCGACCAAUAGGGAUGAAGUUCUUCACCCCUUGCCUUCAUCCAACCAUGCCUUACUUUCAUCCUUCCCAAUAAGCCUCCUUCUAGUUAUAUUUUCAUCUUUUAACUCCUCCCUUCCCUUUUUCUUUAUACUAACUAUCUAAAUCCUAUAUAAUAUAAACUCUAUGAUCAAACUAGAUUAACUUCAAAAUAAUUUUUCUUAUUUCAAUUCAUUUUAAAUUAACAUACUAACUAUUCUAACUCACAUUAAGACUUAUAAACAUAUUACAUGUUUUCACUAAUUUUUACAUACUGUAAGUAAUUUCAGUACGACAGCGUUAUUUGAUAAAAAUCUCUUGCUUCUAUGGCAUCCAAUUCUCCUCUAUCAGCUCUCAUCCUCCCAAUAUAGCCAUAUCUGCUGAAGAUGUCUUCUAAUAUAAACGUGCAUAUUGCUUCCGUGGUCUUGGUUCUCAAAGCCCUUCCUUCAACAUAGUUUGAUAACUCUUCUCUUGUUAAAACCAAAUAUUUCAUACCCCAUAAUCCUGAAGGCAUAGCUACCAAAUCAAUUACCCAUUGAAAAUGUAUAGAAGGUGGAUAAGUAGGAUGUAAUCCAUCUCUAUACCUAACCUUAGAUUGUAGUUGGCACUCUGUGCAUGAACUCACAAAGUCUUCUACAUCUUUGUAUAAACCCUUCCACCAAUACCUUUCUUUGAUCUUAGUAUAUGUGGCCCAAACUCCUCUAUGUCCUGCCCAAAGUGUAUCAUGAUAUUCUCUUAAAACCUUAAUUUUAGUUUCAAGAUCUCCUAUAACUCUCAAUGGGAUUUUGUCACCUCUUUUUGGCCUCCUCCAUAGAAAUCCAUCCCUGAGUAUAUAACCAUAGGAUUGGUGUCUAAUAUCUUUGAAGGUUUUGUCCAUCCACCCUUCUUGUUUUUUCAUUGUGCUUAAAUAAAUUCCAAUAUCCUUCAACUUGCCUUCAUACGUACCUUCAUAGAAAUUUUGAACCUUGUCACCAAAAUCCAUUCCACCAGUAGCAAAUGAACUUCCAUAAUUCUUCUCUUCUUCAUCUUCACCUCUUUCAUAUGCCAUCAUCUCUUCUUCAAAUGUAUAUCUAACUCUGGACAACAUAUCUGCCACCAAGUUCUCUUUACCAGUAAUAUGUACCAAAACAGGGUUUAAUGUCCUUAUAUAGGCUAUCCAUCUUAGCAUGGCAAUAUCUGGAGUAGUACAGUUAAUUAUCAUUCCAAGUAAUGGCAAACAAUCUGUUUCCAAAACCAUACUUGCUCCAAUCAAAUAAUUCCUCUCAGCCUUUAAUGCUGUAAGCGCUCCCCAAAGCUCUCUUUUAACUUGAGGAUAAGCCCUUUGUCUCUUUGUAAGAACCCUAGCUCCAAACCUUAUAGCAAAUCUUCUUCCUUCUACAUCAUUUUGUCCAAUAGUCCAUCCAAUUGCUAUAGGACUUGUAUCCACUGUUACAACUACUGGUCUUUCAUAUUGAUAAUCCACUUGUUUAAGCACAGGUGGUGAACUCAACAUUUUUUUUAGAUUUUCCAUAGCUAUUUCUUGUUCUUCUUCCCAUACAAAUUUCUUACCCUUCCUUAAUAACUUAUAUAGUAGCUCUGAGAUAUGGGCAAAGUGUGGCACCCAAAUGUGAUAGAAUACACAUGCUCCUAAAAACCUUCUAGCUUCUGUAACAUUUUUACAAGCCUUAAUUCUAGAUAUAGCAUCAAUCUUAUCAGGGUUUGGUUUCCUAUCAUACCUGCCACACAUGUGCCUCACCACUAGAAUCUCAUCAACUCCAAAGCUUGAUUUCUCCAAAGAUAACGUGAGAUUAACUGACUCCAAUCUCUCCAAUAUCUGAGCCACAUCUUCAAUAUGUUUCUUCACAAACUUUCUACAACCUUCAACCUCCAUAGUCUCAUCCUUGUCUUCUUUUUUAUCUCCUUUUAUAGGUAUAUCAUCUAGAAAUGGAAUGGUUUUCUCAGGCACAAAUUCUUUUAAUAUUUGGUUCAUAGCAUUUUGCAUAUGAGCCACUGAGUUGGUUGCACCUUGAGGUAGCGUACACAUCCUCAUUAAACCCAAAGGAGUCUUCAUGGUAGUUAAAUCUCUACUCUCUUUAGCCAAUUGAAAUUGGUCAUAUCCAGAAUAUAAGUCUCCAAUAGAAUAAAUGGUAUGACCUGCAAAUUGUUCAGCCACUUCAUCUACUAUGGGACCUGAUCCCAUAUUUCAAAUAGUCACCCUGUUUGCAGGUUGCAUAUCCUGAAUAAACCUUAAUGCCCCUGACUUCUUGGGUACUCUGAACCAUCUAUUUGAAUAGGGAGCAAUUGAAGGUUCCAAAAUACCCAUCUUCACCUUCUCUUUUAAUAAUUCUAUCAAUUUUGGAAGUAAAGCUCUAGGCAUAGGUAUAGGCUUUAAAUCCCAUGGAACAUGUGGCACUGUAAAGAUUACCAUAGGUACUAUAAUACUAGGAUCCACACAUCCGAUUUCAUCAGGAGUUAAGGCAAAUGCCUUACCAUGUCUAAUAAGCAUUUCUUGAAACAUAUCUUCCUCCGUUGAUGUUAAGAAGUCACCCCCUCCAAUCUUCAACUUAGCUAAUGAUUCUUGUGUAAAUUGAUGUCCAAUUCGACGCCUCUCUCUUAGACUUGGCUCCAUAACUGCUUAUUUAAUAUGCUCCAUAUUAUCAACUGGUAAUUGUGUAGCUACAAGUUUUAUCUUUCUUGCCACAGUUUUAUAUUUAGUUUGUACUCUAGCCUCAUGCUUCAACCCAUAGUUUGUAGCAAGUCCACCAUUUGCUACCAUCCUUUCUAAUCCUUCAUAAGUCCUUCUUGAAUAUAUUUCUACUAUAGCAUCUCCAUCUAUGUUUAUAGCCAGAUUCUCCAAAAUCUUUACCAAAUCAUCUUCCAAACCUAUUUCUUCUAUUACUCCAACUAUGGCUUCAUCACUUGAAACUAAAUCCACUCUUUUUAAGUUCUUCUCUUGUUUCUUUACUUUUUUUUUUUUUUUUUUUUUUUUUAUAGAAUCUAAAUCUUUAACCUUUUGAACACUCAUAAAUCCAUUAUUAGAUAAGUUCAAAAAUCCAAAACUCAUACUAUCUACACUGGGGUUUGUAGAUGAAUCAUUUGCAUCCAUGUGCCCCCAUCUUACAAGGGUGCUUUUUAGAAAUCCACAAAGUUAUUUCUUGGCUCCAAGGGCAUCCCUCUUAAUGUUUCUCUGUGUCUCUCAUGGAUAAGUUUCACAGUAAUAAAUUGCACAACUUUUCUCCCAUCCCAACUCCGAAUUCUGGCAUAAUGUAAACCAUCAUUCAAGACUCUAGUCUCCAUUCUAGCAGCUGUAAUAUAAGGUUGACCAAGUAUUACCGGAUAUGUAGCAGAAUUUUGCACAAAAAAAUUUUGCUCCACUUCUACAUCUCCAAUUCUAGUCUUUACAACUGGACAAGCUCCAUGUAAAUCACCUUCUUGAUUGUUUGCAGCUCUGAUUACCCAACCAUGGUUGAUAUCAAUUGGCCACUUAUUCUUCUCAUAUAUCUUCCUUGACAUGAUGUUGAUUUCAGAUCCAUGAUCAACCAGGGCCAAAAUUGGAUCUUUAAAGUCCCCUAAUCUCACAUAUGUUUCUGUAGUAGCUGUAGCCCAAUAAGGAACUGAAUAACUACUACUCUCUAUUCCCUCAUUUUCACAUUUGGAGCAAGUAUUAACACUUGCUUCUUGUGCAUCCUUCCUUAUCCCUAUAAAUCCCAAAGGUGUGCAUUCCACUUGAUGCUCUUUUUUACCUUCAACAUGUUUAAAUGAAACCUUGUUUUCCAUAUCAACCUUAUUUCUAGUUUCAGGCAUUGCAAAUUAUGCAAAUACCUAUCCUAUAUCUUCUUCUUCAUCCACAGUUACCCGAGUAUCCAAUGCCUCUACCAUAAUAGCUUCUGCUGUCAUUUGCCUCUUCCUCUUUAUCACAUUGAUGAUUAAUUCAUGAAAAUCCUUCUUGGCUAUGCCUAGAGCCUCUCUUAGAGUGAAUUCAAUCUUUGCAUCCAAGAUCUUCUCUUCUAAAAUACUCUUCAUAUCUGUAGAUAAUUCAAUCUCAAAUUGAAGUUUAUAAGCAGGAGUUUUACCUUUAGGUUUGCUUAUAUCUUCUUUCUCCUUUUCUUUGCCCUUCUCCCACCACUCUUUUGGUAAUGGUGCACUACCAUGAUGAGUAGAAGAAGAUACCUUCUCAGUUUUUUGCUCCUUAGAAGCUUCUUUAUUUCUUGGAGACCUCUUCUUGUUUUCAGGCUCAAUAACAUCUUCUUCAUGAAUAGUUCUACCUCUUUUUUCUUCAACCAUAGCAUCAUGCAUAUCAUCAUCAUGCUUGUCUCCACACAAAUAUGCUUUAAUGCUAAUAGAAUCAACUAGAUCAUUCCACCCAGUUUUCUUUCUGAUAGCUUCAGCUCCCCUCAUCAUGACUCCUUUAGUUGGCAAAGAAAGAGCCUUAACUCCCUUUUGUUCAACUGUAAUAGAAUAAGACUCAGCUCCUUCCCCUUUUAUGGCACUAUUCUUUGAUGUUUGCUCCUCUACUAAUUUUUUCAUGCCACCCUUCCCAAAAUUAGUCUUUAGAGGCUCAUCUGACCUUGUGAGUCUUAUCCUGCCAUCUUUGAAAUACACAAUACCAUCCUUGAUUGCAGCCUUAUAGCUAUCACACUCACCACGCUUACGGUUUGGAUUGUCACACCACAUACAUCUUUCUAUAAAUCCCUUUGAGCCUUCAAUUGUCUUUGAUGAGCUUGCCAUCUGGAAUUUCUUCAAUUUAGUCAUUUCCACCUUCAAGUCCUGCAUGCCCUUAAUUAGUUCUUCAAGAGUACCAUCCUUAACAGUCUUGAUUCCAUUUUGAGGUGGCAUUAGAUUUUGAGAUGCAGGCAUUGGCUCCAACCUUGGUAAUAAUCCACGAGUCUUAAUCUUUUGUUGCCUAGCCAAAAGCCCCACUGUCUCUUUUACUAGCUUCCAAUCAUUAGUAAAACCACUCUCAGAUAUCUUGUCUGCUAGAUAAAAGAGUAGCUUAUCCUCCAAAUGUUCAUCAACUGCUUGUAAAAACAAUCCAGUCUUCUUUGUUUCCAAAAGCUGCCUCUCUUGUCGUGGUAACUGUCCAAACUUAGCCUCAAAUUCCCUGAUUAAUUCAUUGGGAGCCAUUUGAUUCCCUGGCCUUUGCUCAAUCCAAUCCAAAAAAGUUUGUUUUGUCUUUCUUUCUGAAUCCUCCUCAAAAAACUCAUCUUUCAACAGUUCUUCAAAUUUCUUCCAUGAUAUAGUCUCAAUAUGCAACUCUUGCACCCUCUCUCUGAUUUCUGGUACCACUGCCAAAUCAAAGGUAGAAAUCAUCUUUACUUUUGAAACCUGAUGCACUUCCAUUUCACAUGUAUAAACCCUGAGGAACUUAGUGAUGUUCCUCCUAUCAAACCUCCCAACCUUAUCCACCACUACUUGUAAAGCUUUGGUGGUAUUCUUAUCCUCCCCAUGCACAUGUUGCCUUUCUUCCAUAAAUUGAGCAAAUGCCCUGAAUAAAUCAUGAGCACCUACUCCACUUGGUAAUCCAAACCCUGGAACUUGAUCCCCCAUUCUAACUUAUUGAGAAUUUUAGUGCCUUAAGGCUCUCUCAGUGGAAGCACCAAAUAUGUCGGGGUAGAGAGAGUUUGCCUGAAGAAAGCGCUGGGCUUCUAACUGUCACUAAAUACUCAAUCAAGUUUGAAAUAUAAGGGUAACAAUUUUAUAUAUAUAAACUCCUCUCCUUUGGAGCAAUUACAUCAAUAUACAAGCCUUAAAAUCCAAAGAACACCAAAAUACUUGAUAAGGUGUUAUAAAAAACUUAUAUAUCCUUAUGAGGAAAUUUUCCCGAAGUUCAACAGCUCAUAACUUACGAUCUAACCGUCUAAACAACUCCAAAUUUUACAUGGAGUACUGAUAUAUCUUUAGCAACUACCACACCAAAAUUCAACCGUAAAUUCGUCUUGAAUCUUGUGAUAUCUUGAAAACUCUAACUGUAGCUUCAAACCCUAGCUUUUUUACACCCGUGUACAACUUCCUUCAUAUCUCACAAAGUAAUUAUUUAAAUACUAUGAAACUUUGAUCUAAAGCUUCUUAACCCAAUUACACACACUUGUGGAAAUUUUGAGCUAAAAAUUCGUCCAGAAACUCAAGAUAUGGCUUCACCCAUAACUAGCAACAAAACGAUAUACUUACUGCCUUCAAAUUACAAGUGCUGUCUUCAACGCCUCAUAACUCCUUCACCCAAUCUUAGAAUUCACUAUACAAUAAGUAGAAUGUGUAGCCGAGAAAAUGUUCCCUCCAAAUCCAGUCGCCGAUCUUCCGUUGCUCUCCGUAUUCGUAUGUGAUGCCCAAAAGAAGUGACAGUAGGUACAAAAUUGACACCUUAUCUUUGAACAUUCAUAUCUUUUCCAUAAAAACUCGAAAUCACACAAAAUCUUCACCCAAAUUAUACCCAAAAUCCUAAACCUUCUGACUCUAGCCUCAAAAGCUCGAAUGGCCUCGAAAGAGGAACCCUAAUUCCUAAUAUGGCCUCGGGCAGCCUCCUCAAAGCCCAUUGGGCAUGGUAUUCGACCAAUAGGGAUGAAGUUCUUCACCCCUUGCCUUCAUCCAACCAUGCCUUACUUUCAUCCUUCCCAAUAAGCCUCCUUCUAGUUAUAUUUUCAUCUUUUAACUCCUCCCUUCCCUUUUUCUUUAUACUAACUAUCUAAAUCCUAU
rnacentral:lncRNA from 1 species